rnacentral:rRNA from 1 species
UUGAAAGGGAAACGAUUGAAGUCAGUCGUACCGGCGGAUAAUCAGCCUUUCGGGUGCGAUUCUGUGGGGCGUGAGGAGCUUAACCGCCUUCAUGUUUUGCAUAUUCGUGCACAUUUGGUAUACUUGUCCGUGUGGUGGGUUAACAUCAAUUUCGGUCGUCAUAAAAUGAUUGGAGGAAUGUAGCUUUGGUCUCGUAUCGAAGUGUUAUAGACUCUGGUAGAUGUGACGAUUGGGAUUGAGGAUUGCAACGGAUACCCCUUCGGGGGCUACCCGUCUGAUCUCUGAAGGUUGCUCCGGUGCCGAAAGCGUGCUUACGGUCAUCGAAAGUGAUUUUCAAAAGGUUAGAACGGGUUAAAUUCGUUAAGGAUGUUGACGUAA